rnacentral:lncRNA from 14 species
GGCUCAGAUUCCUGUCAGCGGCGGCGGCGGUGGCGGCGGCCGUCAGUGUUCGCUGAGGAGAAGCCCGAAACGGACCCGUUGGCUCUCCCUCUCCCCUUCCCCGUCCGAACCUUCUUCUCUCUGGACUCACCGAGAGUCAGUUUUCCACUCCACAGAGCUGUUCUCCACUCCGAAGCCCUUCUCGUCGCUCGGCCGGGUGGGAAGUGACUGCCCUCGAGGAGGAGGAGGAGGCAGCGGCUGCCGCCCUCGUCUCACCGCCCCCGGUUCGGUGCCCGCGGAUCCCGGAGAGGAGGUGCCGCCGCCACCGCCGCUCCCCCCCUCCCGCUGCCCUCGGGCCGGGCUGGGUCGAGCUGCGAUGCCCUCGGACUUCAUCUCAUUGCUCAGCGCGGACCUAGACCUGGAAUCGCCCAAGUCCCUGUACUCGCGAGAAUCUGUCUAUGAUCUUCUCCCAAAGGAGUUACAGUUACCUCCACCUAGAGAAACAUCUGCAGCAUCAAUGAGUCAGACAAGCGGUGGCGAGGCAGGCUCGCCUCCUCCAGCUGUAGUUGCUGCCGGUAUGCAUUUCAUUUUACUUAUUAAUGAAAACUAGGGAACUCUCUGGCCAACAUGAACAGUCUUGGCAAAGUUCAUAUCAAAAAGAGUAUGAUUUGAGGAUUUAAAGAUUUUACCCUUUACAUUGAAAGGUUUUCAGUGUUUUUUUAAAAAUAUACAUACGUGCAUGCACACAUACACAUCUUACAUUUUGGUCCAUUUGUAAAUGCUAUCUCCUAAAGUGGACCUUGUGUUCAAAUAUGGGACCCAGUUUAAAGUGACCUUGUUGAGUGCACAUAAAAAAAGAUAAUAAACACCAAGCUAUGGCUAGAAAAUUAUAUUGACCUUUUAUUUAACAAUUUUUAAAAGAAUUAUUUACUUAUUUUAUGUAUGUGAGUACACUGUCACUGUCUUCAGACACACCAAAAGAAGACAUCAGAUCCCAUUACAGAUGGUUAUGAGCCACCAUGUGGUUGCUGGGAAUUGAACUCAGGACGUCAGGAAGAGUAGUCAGUGCUCUUAACUGAUAUUUCACCAGCCCUUAACAAAUAUUUUUAAAGACUUGCCCAAAGGGAAAAAUGUUACAUGAUCUAAAAAAAGGACUCAAGUUCUUAAGUCUCCUUUCUCUUUAUCGCAUGUAACUAUAGCCUUUCUCCUACAAUUAAAAAAAACUCUGGCACAGUCAGAGUUACAUAGUGAUGUGAUAUAUAUAUCAUACAUAUAUACACAUAUAUACAUACAUAUAUACACACCCAUACAUACACA